GGAGGAAGUAAACGUUUAGAACAAUUAUAAUUAUUUUUAUCAAGAACAGUAGAGGGGCAAAGUCAACUCCGAGAUAGCUGAGCUAGUAAUUAGCUCUAUGUUCAUAUCGAGACGAUUUCAAAAGGGAUGAAAUGCCAGGCUCACUGUGUAUACAGUGUCAGACACAAACCACUGUGUUUAGUAAGACCUGCAACAGUUGUUUCUUUAACCAUCCAAAAGAGAUGAUGUUACAAGCGUUGAAGAAGUAUGAUUACAAAUGGGAACACAAUGAUUGCACCCAUUAUAAUAAUAGCUCUCAGAUAUUGACUUCCACUAAAGUAUUGCUCUACAAAUUACAUACUCUGGGAUUUGUUCCCCUUCUCCUGCUUGGAAAAAGGAGAAAUGGAACAAAACAUAUCGAUAUGGAUUCCUUUUGCCCUCACCCUCAAGUCAUAAAAGAAACAGGCUCUAUUGAAACCUUGAGAAAUAUUUAUUUAGGUCUUCUGAAUGUCACACUCGGCACCGAGUCCCAAUGCCAGUGCUCCCCAGUGUCUUCAGAGCCAGACGGGACCCCCGCACCAGCCAAGGUAGAGGGAGCCCCUACAACAAUCGAUCCCGUGGAAACCCCUGCACCAACAGAGCUACACAGAAUACCCAUAUCCAUCCGACUGAACAUAAUACCCACACCAACAGAGACGUGCAAACACAACACACUAAUCAAUCCAGUGGAAACCCCAGCACCAACCAUGCGAGACGGAAUCCCCAUAUCUUUACGACGGAACCUAAUCCCCACACCAACAGAGCCAGGCAAACCAUCCACACCAACCAAUCCAGUGGGAAUCCCUAAACCAACCAAUCUAGUUGGAACUCCUACAGCAAUUGAUCCAUCAGGAACCCCUGCACCAACUAUGCUAGACAGAAUCCCCACAUCCAUCAGCCUGAACAAAAUCACCACACUAACAGAGCCAGGCAAACACUCCACAUCAACCAAUCCUGUGGGAACCCCUUCACCAAUUAAUUCAGUGGGGACCCCUGCACCAGCCGAGCUUGAUGGACUCCCCACACCAACAGACCCAGGAAAACCCUCCACAUCAACCAAGCUAGACGGAAUCCCCACAUACAUCUGCCUGAAUGGAAUCCCCACAUCCAUCUGCAUGAACGGAACCCCCACCUCAAUACAGUCCAAAAUCCCCAGACCAAUACAACCUAAAAUUCCCCACACCAAUACAGCCAGGCAAACCCUCCACACAAAAUAAUCCAGUGGGAACCUCUAUACCAAUUGAUGAAACAUCUGACUCCUCUGAGCACCAGGACCAAGAAAUGCAAAGAAAAAUGUGGACAGAUGGAGAUCUAAUCGUUGCUGAAGACGGUGCAACCAUUCAAGCACAAAAGAAAAUCAAAACAACAGUGCACUAAUAUGGAAUUGCCUCAUGGCUACCUCAUAACUUUCACCAUAAAAAGAAGAGUCGCUGAACAUGGAUACGGAUAGGCCCAUGGUGUCAAGACAUGCAGAGAUCCUGGUGCUUGAUGAAGGACAGUGAAGAAACUAAAGAAACUCAGACGAGAGGGCAGGGACAAAACUACCCAUCCAAAGGUGAUUACAGCACAAGACCUUGAGAUUCUUCAAAACUCUACUGUGCUAAGCCCCUACACACCCAGAGGACUAGUGAACCAAGUGUGGUUUGAUAUCCAGUUACACUUUGGCCCCAGAGGAAAAGAGGGCAAUAGACGGCUAACGCCACAGUCGUUUGUAAUAAGGUACGAUGAAAACGGAGCAAAAUAUGCAACGCUGACUUCCAAAGAAGAAAGACUGAACCACAAAGAUGCAGAACUGGCAGAAUCGCUGUGGAAUCAUGUUUCAGAACCCUGAUAGUCCACUCUGUCCAGUCGCCUCCUUGGAGAAGUAUCUGAGCAAGAUCCCGCCAGAUGCCACCGUCCUCUACCUCCAUCCUAUUAAGAUGGUCAUCACCAGUGACAGCAUGUGCUAUAGCCAGGAGCCAAUGGGGUUUAACUACCUUUCAUCAAUGCUUCCCCCGACUGUGCCAG
ensembl:lncRNA